AUUCUGCCCAUGCGGGGAAGGAUGAGAAGCUUCGACCAAGGUGCGACUCGAGCGCCAGCGAGAGAGCGUGGCCGCAGGCAACG
rnacentral:sRNA from 1 species